rnacentral:rRNA from 1 species
UACGGGGGGUGCGAGCGUUGUCCGGAAUCACUGGGCGUAAAGGGCGCGUAGGUGGUUUGAUAAGGGUGUGGUGAAAGUCCGGAGCUCAACUCCGGAUCUGCCGUGCCGACUGUCAAACUCGAGGGCUGUAGAGGCAGACGGAAUUCCGGGUGUAGCGGUGGAAUGCGUAGAGAUCCGGAGGAAGACCGGUGGCGAAGGCGGUCUGCUGGGCAGUUUCUGACACUGAGGCGCGACAGCGUGGGGGAGCAAACAGG